rnacentral:lncRNA from 1 species
CACAACCUUGAGUGAAUUUAUUAACCUGUUUGCCUGCCUUGACAUGAAAACAUCGCAGCCUGAAGUCCAUGAUUUUCAACCAGCAGUCAGUGUGGUUGGAGAAAUGGAAGCAAGAGUAUUGCUGGGUUGGAAAGGCUACCCAGAAUCUGCCAGGAGCUGUGGGUCUUGGUGUUCUCGAGUGUGAGCUAUUGUCCCCACCCUGGGGAUGACUGUGGUGAACCCUUGGAGAUGGGACAAGUGUUCCUAGCACAGGAAGUGCACCAUGAAGAACUGGGCUGCAGUAGCUUGUUAUGCCAAUGGAAACCUUACUAGUGGUGGUGACAAAGUCCAGGACAGAUCUGCAGAGGACAAGAAAGCAUUAAGGUGCAGUUCUCUAAGAGGACCCAGAACUGGAACCAGAACUCCAGGAGCAGCCUCAGCAAUGCAGAGUAGAUGGGAAAGAUCACCUCUCUUGCUGGUACCCGAGUCCGAUUUCAUUGGAAGUCCAUGAUAGUCAUAUCAACUCCACCAAUUUCAGAAGAGCUGAGGCCAGCUGCAGGACUGAUCCAACAUGCAAA